GUAGAUGCCCUAUAGUUACUCUCA
rnacentral:siRNA from 1 species